GAUAGCUCAGUCGGUAGAGCGACGGACUGUUAAUCCGCAGGUCCCAGGUUCGAGCCCUGG
rnacentral:tRNA from 3 species